CCUUUUAUGUCUUCGGAAGCAUCCAAUACAAUUGGAAUGAUACAGAGAAGAUUAGCAUGGCCCCUGUGCAAUGACGACACGCACGAAUCAAGAAAUCAUCCAAAUUUAC
rnacentral:snRNA from 1 species